AAAACGGUCCUUUUCAGAACCAUUAAAAAAGUUAAAAUAAAUUUUAU
rfam:Trachymyrmex zeteki contig11448, whole genome shotgun sequence.